rnacentral:rRNA from 1 species
CAGCAGCCACGGUAAUACGUAGGUCCCGAGCGUUGUCCGGAUUUAUUGGGCGUAAAGCGAGCGCAGGCGGUUAGAUAAGUCUGAAGUUAAAGGCUGUGGCUUAACCAUAGUACGCUUUGGAAACUGUUUAACUUGAGUGCAAGAGGGGAGAGUGGAAUUCCAUGUGUAGCGGUGAAAUGCGUAGAUAUAUGGAGGAACACCGGUGGCGAAAGCGGCUCUCUGGCUUGUAACUGACGCUGAGGCUCGAAAGCGUGGGGAGCAAACAGGAUUAGAUACCCGAGUAGUCCCUGUCUCUUAUACA